UAAGAUAAUUUGCGAAAUUAUUUCAUUUCGGCUCUAGUUAUUAACAAGUUAUUACAAAAAUAAUAAUUUUUUCUCAUAAUUCAAUAUUUUGUGGAUAAGACGUCGCCUCAAUAAAAUAUUGUCGUAUGUGCAAAAUUGAGGUUUUGAGAUUUGAAUGCAGUUUUGCUAAUUGAUUUUUUCUCUUUCAUUCUGUGAAAUCCGUUUUUCGAUAUCUGUCUUUGUUUCCGAGAUAAUCAGUAUGCAUUUUGUCGUAUGUGUAGGUUUACAAACAUUUUCAGUAUCUAUUUGUCGUAAGUGCACUAUAAACGUGCACAUACGACAAAAAUUAUCACAUACUACAAUUUUUUCAUACAAAAUCUGUGUUUUCUUCGUUCGGUAAAUAAUUGUAGUAUGUGCUAUUUUUGCUACACAUACGACAAUAUUUUACUGGAAUUUCGGUAAACGUUUGUCGUAUGUCCCAUAAGGAAAUACACAGACGAGUGUAAUUUCAGUCGCAAUCAAGAUGUCGAGCAGGGCUGACGAGUCACCUGCGCCAAGUUUAUCGGAGGUGCUUUAUGCCAUGAGCAACGAAAUAUUGGAUGAUGAAUUCCCCGAUGUCGAUCCAUUAGGUUCGCCCAAUGAGUGUUCUGAAUCCAGUGACAAGGAAUUUUCAGCAGACGAUGAAGAUAACGGCGCGCGAUCCCACGUACCAGUUAGAAAAUCAAAAUGAAAACUCGGCCCUCCGAAAUUUUUAUGAAGCUGCACAUGAUAUUCUUAUGUCUAUACUCCAUCCACAUCUAAAAAUAAUCAACCCAACGAUCGGAAUCUACCAUUCUAAUUCUAAAAAUUGUUCAAAAAUAA